UUACCUAAAUCCAAAGAAGAUGGAAGUGAAAUGCUGCAUAUAGUUGGAAAUAGAUUUCUGGCCACUAUAUCCUCUCCCUGUUCCUCAGGGCUGUGAUGAAUCUUCAUGUAUUGGGAGAAAAGCUGAUGACAAGCUAGAGUCAGGAAAAAAUCCCCUUUCCUCCACAUAUAUACACAUACUCCACCCAUUAUUGCAAGUAGAUGUGAUAUUGGGAUGGGACAGUGUGUUACUGCUUUCUAAGCCAUCUAGUAGCAUUGCUUAGUGGCAGAAAUGGGGACAUUUGUCUGGUAGGAUUGUGAGAGACACAUUCAGUGACUAGGUCUCAGUGGUGCCCACAUUCUAACUGGAGCAAAGCCUACACAGUAUGGGCAUUUUUCCAACAGACCAGAAUGGCAUUGCACUUGAGAUGUGUUUAAAAAUUCAGAUUCCUUUGAACUGUGUGUGGCAUAUUUCUGUAACUAGUUCUUAUAAAAACUAGACUGAAAAAAAUCUUGAAAUAACUAAACACUUAUUGUCCGUGAUUUAACAAGUAGUACUGGAGUGUUGGAAUUCUUGGAAAUCUCAAUAGUCAUGGACAGAUGAGAACUGAUUGGCUUUUUGGCAUGAGCAUUGGAAAGAUUUCCCAGUCAGAAGCUGCCAGGCUGCCUAAUUUUCUUUUUCCAAUAGCCGACUGGUAAAUAAGCAGGUAGUAUAAUAUACUGAACACACUUGAGUCAGGAUGCCUGGCUCCUAUUCAUAGCGUUGCUGUCUUGAGCUGUGACAUUCUGAAAUCUGGGUAAUAUAAGGCUCCCUACCUUGGAGGCUUAGCUAAACAAGCUUGUGAAGUGCUUUGACAUCCAUGGUCAAAAUGUGCUUAUAGCAAUAACAACUAUAUGUACUAUUUGAUGUUAACGUACAAAUUGCAGGUAAAUGCGUUUACCAUUUUGCAGCGGCUUAACAAGUAAUUCUUGUAUACAGACUGUGGGCCAGAUUCCAGGGUUGGCAAUUUCCUGGGAAAAACUAGUUUAGGACAGAGCACUGGUAAAUACCAGUUUAAACUGGGAAAAAUGAAGUUAUUAGACUACUAAUGAAAAUUACUGAAAUAUAUAGAUUGCAAAAAAAGUAUCAAAUUGCUAAAUAUAUUGGUUACAUAAUAUGAAAAUAAGAGUCAUGACAUCUAAGUUCCUUGAGAAAAUACCAGAGCAAAAUGUAUACAGAUAUUCUGAUGUUUAGUAUUAUGUAUACUGCAGUUUUAAUUUGUAUUUGUACAACAACCUAAACUAAUCACUGAAUCUUCUGCCUUAUGGAACCACACUUUGAAUAUGUAACUAAGGUUAAGCAAUGUGGUGUACAUUAAUGAAACAGUUUUUUAAAAUAGAAAAUACUUUGAACUGGGACCAACUAGUUGGUGAAAACCAUGAUUUUACUUGGUUAAAACACAGCUCUGGUAAAUGCCAUCCCUGCCAGAUUCUCAGCUGCUGUAAAUUGGUGCAACUGCAUUUACACUAGCUGAGAAUCUGCAGCCUUUUUCCCCCACAGAGCCUCAUGAAGGAGACCAGAGUUGGGUUCCUCUAUGGUUAUCAAGCUAACCAGAAGUAAUAGGAAAGCUGUAUGAUCUCUACAGCGACAAUGCUUAUCUCGGGAGACUUGGGUGGGGGGGGGGAAGCUCUCACAAGCAAAGAGUACCAAGUCCAACUGCUUUUUAAUGAAGGACAGAGAUCAAUCCUUGCUAGACUCAUUAAAGUAAGACUCCUGCCCUCCUUGGUAAUGUUAAUCUCUACCAUGAGCAUGUUAGAAUCAACCCUGUGUGCAUCAUAUGCUGGUUUUGUUGUCUAAAAAGCAAUCUGUGUGAGAACACAACCGGUGAAAGCAUCUUUCCUCCAGGACUUAACCUUGUGGGACCCUUGGGAGUUCUCUACUUACCAGAAAGAAGUGAAGCACUAUCAUCCAUCCCCAUCCUCCAUCAGGGGCUGAUAUGGGUUGCUGUUCCUCCUCCUUCGUUGCUGUUGGCUGAUUCUCUGCGUCUGCCCCCUUCCUUUCUCCUUCAAAUGAGAAUUUCAGGGAAUAGUCACACUUCACCAUACUGAUCAGGCUCUUUUAGACUACAGCUGUCCGCAAGUAAGGAUGACUCAUGCAUGUUCAGGUAUGUUUCCUUGGGUGUAUUUAUACAUAAUUCAGUCUGUGCCAGAACUAGGGGAGCCUGCUUCAUCAUCUGUCUGUGACAAUACCCCACUCAGCGCCUCUCUGAACCUCUUCCCAACCCCAUUGCAGCUAUGCCAUUUUAUUCCUUCACCAUUUAUCUGUGAGGUUUCUGUCUCUUACUGAGUUUGCUCUAGGAGUUUUGCCUCAUAGUGCAGCUGAGACCUGCAAGGGGGUUAGCAGGAUUGUAACCCAAAGCUUUUCUCUUACCGUCAGGAUGAUGCAUAGCAUAAGAUGCUGCAAAAAUAAGAUUAAGGAAAAUCUGUCUUCAUUUGUUGUUGCGACUAGCUACAGCCUCCUGAGUUAGUUCGUUUAAGUCUGUUCCUUAAUUCCUCUCUGCACUAGGGAACACAGGGCUCAUUCUUCUAAAAGAAGCCACGAAGCAAAGGAGGCAGACCUAGCGCAAAAAAAAAAAAAAGCAGCCCCCUAAGUGCAGGGCCCUUUGGACUUUAUCCCUCCCCUCAAAGUAAUUAGCAUAUUCAAGGCAUUUCAGCCCCACCCCUUACCCAAGACCAAGGGUGGGGAAAUGAAGCUCUCUGCUAAAAGUAUCCUGCUUCGAGGAAAUUUGAGUCCUUAAAGUGCUGCCCAAAAACUGCAAGGGAAGGUUUGAGGGCAGCCAUGAGGUUUUGCUAGUUAGUCACCACGCGGGCCAGUAGGUGGCAUCAGUGUACAAAACCAGCUUCCAGUACAGGAGCCACAUCUGAACUUUUGUGUCCCCAUCUUAGCAGGUAGAGAUGGGGAACCAGAGACAGAGGGAUUCCCUCCCUGCCGUAUAGCAGGUACCAUAAGCAAGAUCAUAUUCCUUAAUUCACUGUUGAAUGUUUGUAUAGUCCUGACACAAGGACUGCCUGGAGACCUUCCUGAGGCAUGGUGCUUGGCAGCUGCCCCAACACUUCCAGGCUAAAGCAAUGUCUUCACUGCCAAAAAUGGUGUUUUUACUGCAGCGAAACUAAUAUGCAUUAGCUAGCCUGCUGUAAAACCUUAGUGGAGGCAAAGCACUGUAGUUUUCCGAUGAGGUCAACCACUGAUAGAGGUAUAAUGUUGACGUCACAUGGUUAUCCUGUAGUGCUUUGUAGGAUUUUAAUGUAGGCUAGCUAACGUGUAUGAUCACACUGUUAAACAAAGGAAAACAUCUUUUUUGCAGUGGACAUAUCAUACACACAGAUUUGUGCUGCAAACAGAGGAGGAGAGCUCCCAGUGAGUGAGUGAAAUUAUUAAUUAGCAGUGGCCACAGGUGAGACCUGCAGCUCUCAUCUGCAAUCCUAGGCUCUCCUGCAGCAGCUCAAUUCAUUUCAGGAAAAAGUGGCAUACGCUUCAAUGCAGCAAUGUGGAGGUUCUUCUGGCUGUAGAGGCUCCCCUUGGAAGUGGCUUAGGAAAUCUGCUCCAUGAGAACAGAAGCACAAUGGGAGCAAGCUUACCACCCCCCCCAGACUGUAGUAUUCAUGUGUUGCGCAGCCUCCCUUAUUCCGUUAUCCACUCUGCUGGGUGGAGAUUCUGUGCCCCAUUGUAUUUUAAUUGGAACACCAAAAACCUCUGAUCCCCUUUUAAAAAUCCAGCACAGAUCCUGUCUCAUCUUAGAUUUGGCACAGCAGCCUCAACUGUUUCACUAUCAUUAAUGUGUUUAAACCCCCCUCCAAAAUACCACAGCACUCCCUCAGCUAAGAGCAACGAGCCUAUAAACUUGAAAAUGAAUUUAAAGAAAAAUUUGACAACUUACCUUACUAGCAGAGAGUUGACAGAUUUUCUCAGUAUAUGUGGUGAAACUAAGAGGAUCUUAAGGCAUCCUGGACAAUUUAAGAAUAUACUCUUUACUUUAAUGCAUUGUUUGGUGACUAUGAUUGAUCACCAGGGAAAUUAAACUUGACAUUUCACUUCCUUACAAGAGAUUUGAAAUGGGGUAUUGGUCAAAGCUAUAAUGGCGAGAGACCAUAAUCAACAGAGCUGUAAGAAUACUUCCUAGUCCCCAUUGGCACUACAGGAGGUUGGAGGGUACCAAAUGCAAGAGGAACAGCUUUUAACAAUCACACAGGAAGUUUGAAAAGUAAGGAUCCAUUUGGCCAUAUCCCUAUCAGGGAUUGUAUUGCUCUGAGAUUUAGGACUAAUAGUUACACCAUUUUCCUGCUAAUGGAAUGCUAAAAAUCACUGGGUCUAGUAUUGUAUAUUGAUGUUGACAUUAUCCACUCUGAGUCCACCACUACCUAUCUAUCAAUACUGAAGAGGAACUAAAGUCACCUUUCUCAUACUGAUUUAAAACCAUGCAGUAAAGAUAUUUGUACCUCCAUGGGUUUAGUAAUUGGGACAUUGUCAGGUCGAAUUUGGCCCCAUAUCUAGGUUUUGUAAGUAAGCUUUUACCAUACGUAAAACAAAUGUUUCCCUAUAUAUUUGAACACCAAGGGAGGGAGUUUUUAAACAAUGUUUCCCCUGCAGUGUUUGUAAUUUUAACAGUAUCAUUAGGGGUUAAAGUGUGAGAAUCAUGAUGUGAAAUUGGAUUUGUCAAGCUGCCAUUUCCAGUAUCAAAACAAUAACAGGAGAAGCAAAACACUGUAAGUAGUGCCAUUGAACUUAAAACUUCAAUUUUAAGCCAAGACAUUUGUAAUAGACAAGGAAACUGUUUAUAAAUGUAUGUAUUUUUAGCCAGAUGGGAUUAAAGGUGUCCUACAAAGAA